GGGUGAGUAACGCGUAGGCAACCUGCCCUUUAGACGGGGACAACAUUCCGAAAGGAGUGCUAAUACCGGAUGUGAUCAUCGUGCCGCAUGGCAGGAUGAAGAAAGAUGGCCUCUACAAGUAAGCUAUCGCUAAAGGAUGGGCCUGCGUCUGAUUAGCUAGUUGGUAGUGUAACGGACUACCAAGGCGAUGAUCAGUAGCCGGUCUGAGAGGAUGAACGGCCACAUUGGGACUGAGACACGGCCCAAACUCC
rnacentral:rRNA from 1 species